rnacentral:rRNA from 1 species
UUACAUGGAUAACUGUGGUAAUUCUAGAGCUAAUACAUGCACAUGAACCUGACCUCAAAGUAUGGUUGUGUUUAUUGAUUUCAAAACCAACUCAAGCUCUGCUUGAUAUGCUGCAUGAUUGAUUAUAAACGAAUGAAUUGCAUGGCACACGCUGGCAAUGUAUUGUUUUAGUUUCUGACCUAUCAGCUUCCGACGGUAAGGUAUUGGCUUACCGUGGCAAUGACGGGUGACGGAGAAUUAGGGUUUGAUUCCGGAGAGGGAGCCUGAGAAAUGGCUACCACAUCUAAGGAAGGCAGCAGGCGCGCAAAUUACCCAAUCUUGGCAUAGGGAGGUAGUGACAAGAAAUAACAAUACAGGGCAUCCAUGUUUUGUAAUUGGAAUGGACAGAUGUUAACCUUCUCUGUGAGUAUCAAUU